GCUCAAGCUUGUAUGUGGGCUCUAGAUUGGAAGAAUAAAUUCUGGGGACAUUUGAGACUUUUUUAGAUGCUGGUGAGAUAGUCAACCCUCGUGAAUGAAAAAGUUCUGGGGAGAGCCUUUGGACAUUGCUUUCAGGAAGAUUGAUUCUGAUCAUCUUAUCAGCCAAGGCAUAUGACCAGGGAGAGUGCUGGGAGCAGGCAGGCCGUUUCCACCACCGUGACACAGAAACAAACGGCAGAUUAUCUGCUGGGUACAAAAGAGUUCAACAUGUUCAGCCACCAUCUGCCCAACUGCAAAUUCAGCAGGAAAGAAGCACAGGUGAAGUUGAGAGGAGACUCUUGGUCAGAGGACCACGGAGUAUCCUGAGUUGGAAGGGAUCCACAAGGAUCAUUGAGGUCUACAAAGAGGCUUCAAAUGACUUCUGUGUAAGCAUCACGGUUCAUGAAUUCUUCUACCUCCAUAAACAUGGAGAAAUACAUUCAUAUGAAUGCAGUGCAUUGAAUACAUCAAGUACUUCACAGAGGAAGCAGAUCAUGCUUCAGCUUAUUUAUUAGGGAGUUAACAAAACGUUGUAACAGAGGACUUAUUACAACACAGAGAGUGAAAAUGGGUAAGGACCUGAUCCUGAAAAUCACUGAAUACAUGAAAGGCCAUGUGGAAAUGAUGGAAUCUGUGGGAAAUAUGAAAUGCUUUGCAAAAGCUAUACUUUAAGUAUUUCAGUCACCAUGAUGUUACCCAUGGGACUAAGUACAUACAGCAGUUACAGUCACUUCCAUUGGCUCUAAAUUAUCGUCCUUUGGCUUCUAAGAUUAAAUAGAAUGGUGAAGUUCUGUGCAAACAUUAAAUUCUCAACUGGACAGGAUUUUUUCUUUCUUCAGAUACAUUCUGAUAAACCUGCCAGUAUUUGUUGCCAUUAUAGCAUGUCAGUAAAGAAAGAGGAGGUGUAGUAUUUUAGACCUUGAUACUCCUUUAGUCAGCUCUGCUAUUGGAAGUUUGGUCAAACGUUAACUACUACGAGCCAUUGAAGUGCCAAUAAGGAAAAACUGUGAAAAGCAUUUUGGCUCCAAAACCAAGUCUGUGAUAUCUUUCUUUUGUGACAAGUCUGAUUCAAAGCUUGUAAACAGCCUACACAUUUGUAAAAUUAGGUAACAAGUUAGAAAGAAAAAGAGACUCAGGAAUGUUUCACACUUGUGUCAUAUGUCUGCAACAUUUUUUUUUCUUGGUGUAGAUUUUCAGAGCUGGCAGAACACAGUGCAGGCACCUGAGCAAACUGCUACAAGCCAGUGCUGGGAAAACCUGAAUACAGAUGGAAUAAAAAAAAGCCGAUCUACUGUACCACAGCAAUGAGUGCAGUACAGCUACUUCUGUGUUACAGACACUGGGUUGUUAGGUGAAGGCUAAGUGACAGUGUGGCUACCACCUUGCUAGCUUAUAUUUCAUGGGAUCUUUCUUCCACAUAAUAAUGUUUUUUUUAUUAUUAUUAUUAUUUGCACUGAGUGAGUACUGUUCUAUCUUGUCUCUUGUUAUUGUAGUGAUUGAAACUACAAAUAAAAUUUCAACUAGAUCUCC
ensembl:lncRNA